UACGUAGGGUGCAAGCGUGUCCGGAAUUUAUUGGGCGUAAAGAGCUCGUAGGCGGUUUGUUGCGUCGGCUGUGAAAUCCCGAGGCUCAACCUGCGGUCUGCAGUCGAUACGAGCAAACUAGAGUGUUGCAGGGGAGACUGGAAUUCCUGGUGUAGCGGUGAAAUGCGCAGAUAUCAGGAGGAACACCGGUGGGCGAAGGCGGGGUCUCUGGGCAACAACUGACGUGGAGGAGCG
rnacentral:rRNA from 1 species